UACAGAGGUCUCAAGCGUUGUUCGGAAUUACUGGGCGUAAAGGGUGCGUAGGCGGCUUUCUAAGUUGGAUGUGAAAACUCUGGGCUCAACCCAGAGCCUGCAUCCAAAACUGGAGAGCUAGGGUUCUGGAGGGGAAAGCGGAAUUCCUGGUGUAGCGGUGAAAUGCGUAGAUAUCAGGAGGAACACCGGUGGCGAAGGCGGCUUUCUGGACAGAUACCGACGCUGAGGCACGAAAGCUAGGGGAGCAAACAGG
rnacentral:rRNA from 1 species